rnacentral:rRNA from 1 species
UGGGGAAUUUUGCACAAUGGGGGAAACCCUGAUGCAGCGACGCCGCGUGAUUUAGAAGGCCUUCGGGUUGUAAAAAUCUUUUCUAUGGGAAGAAAAUGACAGUACCAUAGGAAUAAGGACCGGCUAAUUACGUGCCAGCAGCCGCGGUAAUACGUAAGGUCCGAGCGUUGUCCGGAAUCAUUGGGCGUAAAGGGUACGUAGGCGGGUAAGCAAGUUAGAAGUGAAAUCCUAUAGCACAACUAUAGUAAGCUUGUAAAACUGCUCAUCUUGAGGUAUGGAAGGGAGAGUGGAAUUCCUAGUGUAGCGGUGAAAUGCGCAGAUAUUAGGAGGAAUACCGGUGGCGAAGGCGACUUUCUGGCCAUAACCUGACGCUGAGGUACGAAAGCGUGGGUAGCAAACAGG